rnacentral:rRNA from 1 species
UACGGAGGAUGCAAGCGUUAUCCGGAUUUAUUGGGUUUAAAGGGUGCGUAGGCGGAUCGUUAAGUCAGUGGUCAAAUUGAGGGGCUCAACCCCUUCCCGCCAUUGAAACUGGCGAUCUUGAGUGGAAGAGAAGUAUGCGGAAUGCGUGGUGUAGCGGUGAAAUGCAUAGAUAUCACGCAGAACCCCGAUUGCGAAGGCAGCAUGCCGGCUUCCUACUGACGCUGAAGCACGAAAGCGUGGGGAUCGAACAGG